GAAGGUCCAACCACUGAUGCCAGAAAAGCUGACAGCACUCCUGAGCCACUGGCCUUCUCCAGACACACACAUGGGCUACAAACAGCAGAGCACAUUUAAACAUCCAGAAGUCAUGUUCAGGUGAACUAAUGAUGACGCUGUCAGCUGCAUAGCUAUAUGGUCAGCUGUGCCUGACGUCAUCAGCUGCAGCCUGUCUGUGUCUUUCUCCUGGGCGUCAACCAAUAGGAAAGAGUCCUCCGCCGGCUCGUAAACUUCUCGGAAGCCUCCUCUUCCAGCGUGCCAGUAAACUGGUGUGGGAUAACUUGCAGACAUGUUCUCUUCAGUUACCAGACUCGCUAUCCACCUGCACGUGCUCCUGGCUCACCAUUUAUUCGUCUUAACUGCGUACUGUAAUUGCUGGAGGUGGUGGCUGAGGUGGUGGCAGAGUCGAAUAAGCAUCAGCCCUUCACCCAGGAGACUCGGGUUCACAUCCAGCAUGCCCCAGCAGGAUGCACACAAGGUAAGGAGCCGGCGCUGAGCUCUUUCUCUUCUUCCUCCUGCUCCCAGGUGUUGGGAAAUGAUGUUACCUGGGAAAUACCAGCCUGAAUUAAACCACAUGAAAUAAAACUGCUGAUUAUCCCUCCUGAGGCAACAGGACACGCUGUGUUCAUAAUGUGAAUUAAACAUUUCAUGCUGAAUCACCUCCCACGAUGCACACUUUGUCCUAACUUGAAGAUGUUCUAUGUCAUUUGAAGUUCUAAUACUGGAUGUGAUUAUAACAUGAUACGCUGUGCUUAACCACCAUACUGUCUCCGCUUCUACAGUGAUUCUAGUGACUUGCACACAUUUCAACAGUUUUGAUACAACAUUAUGUGACAGCUAACCUGUUGUGAUGGAUUGAA